CAAAUUACAGAUGAAUUAUGCAAUUAGUUUCUUUUGUUUAUAUUUAAUACUCUAUGCAUGUGCCGCAAGAUUCGGUGUGAUGAGAAAUCUUAAAAUUAUUUUAGAUUUUGAGUGGAACUGAAUAAGGCCCUAGGUGCCUGUGACCACCCCAGGAUUACUAUAGUCUAGUAUGACCUGGAGUGUAAUCCAUGGCGGCUGGGGCUGCUGCCGUUGGUGGGCUCGGUAGCAGUAAUAUACUUACAAGGUCAGAACAAAGAUGAUGAUACGACUAUAAACUGCAGAGAAGGAUAAGCUAGACAGAGGAAUAGGGCCUAGUAGGGAGAGAAGAAUCGUAGUAGCAGCAGCAGAUCGUCAGAGGGACGGACGGAAAGGGAGGUUGUGACUUGGGGCCCUGGCUGUCGUCGUGGGGUUGGGCUUUGUCACUUGUGGGGGUGCGCUGUCGGUGAAGUGUGUGGCGGGUGGCGGCACUGGCAUAACCACCCUCGCUGCUGCCAGUACGCCGGUAAUAAACUCCCCCACCUACGCGCUUGGCGACCUCAUUUAUGGCGCCCAUGGAGGUUCCAGCCACCGGAGGCCGGAGCCCCUAGCUCAGGGAUCCAACCCAACCUUAUUAGCUGAGCAAGCUGAUCCAAUGAUGCAUCAUCGGUCGCUCUAAUAAUCUGCCCCCACGCUCUCAUUGCUAACUAGCGGCUGUCUGCUGUUAGCUACUAGUAGUAUCUCUAAACUAACCGUGUGGUGUUGCUGAUUGUAUGGUUGCAUCUGAGAUUUGUGGUAAUAAUCCCGAUGAACUUAACCCAAUCUUCUGCUUGCAUUUUAGUACAUUCAUGCAGAUGUGAAUACUGAAACCUUUGUGGAAAAGUACUGCCGUGUGCACUGCGGGAUCAGAAGGACGGGAGAUGGUGUGAUAUGUGGCAAAGGAAGCAGUUGAGCAGAAGAUAGACGAUGUUAUGGUGAAGGGAGCAGUUAAGCCGGGAAGACAACUCUUGUUGAUGCACAACUCCUGCCCGUCAGUACACACAGUGGUGCCGCACACGCACCGGAGGCUUCCUUCACCCAUGUCCAUGGGACGACGCCACGCCGCUGCACUGACGCUGCCGAGCAGGAGCAGGAGCAGGAGACGGGAGCUGUUGGCCGGGCAAUAACUGCGGCAUCCAAUCCAUGCAUCCACUGCCCACGAGGACAACCAAUCCAUCAAUCAAUAAUCUGCCAAUCAUCCACCCAUCCAUCCAUGAUCCAUGGCAACAGAAGCUCCGUAAAAAGGCGGAGCAGCAGGAUCAAUGGCGGGCGGGCUCGCUGCCUCGGCUCUCGGUGGUCGCCCUUGUCUUGUCCAUGCCGAAUUCAAUGAGCCAGUACAGGAUCAGAGGAUGGAACCUUCCGCUACAGAAACGCUGCCGCUGCGAUCUGCCUCCGUACGCGCAUCAUUGGAAAGUGCGGGCUGGCAGAGGCAGGUUGAGGUGGUUGGCUGCUUGUCCUCGACUGUCAGGACCCGUCGCGUAAAAAAUGGUUACAAGGUGAUCACAGCUGCAGUAAUUGGCAGACACCCAAUCAGUCAUCGUACUAAGCUGGUACUCAUGCAUCUCUCGUCCUUGUCAAUUUAGCAUUGUACGUAUUAUAUGGUUGCAAGCACCAAGCAGAAACUAGCGAAUAAAUUGCUCCGAUCCAUAUAGUAUAUCUUCA